rnacentral:lncRNA from 1 species
UCGCGCAGAGCUAAGUUAUGCUCUUCUUCUCGGAAUUCAGAUCCUAGGGUUUCGUUUCCUUUCCCUCUUCUUUCUCAGAAGUUAAACCCCACCUAAGCCUUCUCAAUCCUCUACAUUUUGCCUCUUCGCUUUCCACAUUUCACCUCCAUUAUCAAUUUCUAUAUUCCAGGAAAAUCUAACUCCUCUGGACCUGCCACAUCAAUCAAUUCAUGGCCAAAACCAAACCAGGCAAAAAAGACCUCGAUUCCUACACUAUCAAAGGCACCAACAAAGUUGUUCGACGUAUGUACUCUCUCUCUCUCUCUCUCGCUCUCUCUAUUGGUGGAAUCUCCAUCAUUCCUUUUUUGCCUUUGGGAACCCAUGAAUUUCUCAUCUUUUUCCCCCUUUUAGAACCCAUAUUCUCAUAUUGUUUCCUUUUUUUGACGUUAAAGAUUUUGAAAACCCAGUAUUAAUGGAAGUUUUCAUACUUUGUUUUUCAUCAUUUUUAAUGUUGGGUCAUUUGUUUUCCCGUUUGGGUCUCUGAAGACCGUGGAAGUUGCUACUUUUUUGCUUAUUCUCAAAAACCCCAAAAUCUCGUUUUUAUGAUAAUUUUUGAACCGCCCAUUUUGCAGAAAUAUUGCCUAACUUUUAUUUUUUGAUCAUUCAAUGUUUUGUUCAUUUUGUUGCAGCUGGUGAUUGUGUGUUGAUGCGCCCAUCGGACUCCGAUAAGCCUCCCUACGUCGCACGAGUUGAGAAAAUUGAGGCCGAUCAUCGCAAUAAUGUCAAAGUCCGUGUCCGGUGGUACUAUCGGCCAGAGGAGUCCAUUGGUGGCCGCCGUCAAUUCCAUGGGGCAAAAGAGCUCUUCUUAUCGGACCACUACGAUGUGCAAAGUGCACACACAAUUGAAGGCAAGUGCAUCGUGCACUCAUUCAAGAACUACACUAAGCUUGAAAAUGUUGGAGCUGAGGACUACUUCUGUAGAUUUGAAUACAAGGCUGCCACUGGUGGGUUCACCCCUGAUCGGGUAGCUGUGUGAGUAUUCUUUUGCAUUUUCUGUUAUUUGGGUUGAAUUGAUUUUGUAGGUUUUUAAGUGUUGAAGUAAUUGGAUUAUUCAACUGAGACCUGGAUUCUUUUUUCUUCCUUGUAAGGUACUGUAAAUGUGAGAUGCCAUACAAUCCAGAUGAUCUAAUGGUGCAGUGCGAGGGUUGCAAAGAUUGGUAAAUUUUUUGCCAACUCUCAAUUUUUAACAAGAAUUAUAUAUAUUAAAUUGCAAAGCUUACAUUUACAUAUUCUGCUGAUCUUUUAAUUUGUAGAAGCCACAUGAAUUUUGAAUUAGUGUGGACAUACUGUCCUUUUGGUCUGUUUAUCAAAUGUUUCACGGUAGUAUUUCCAUUAUUGAUAUACUUAUAACCUUGCGCUCAAUUUAAACCUUUGUUUGGCUGGUUAAACACUUAGUUAACUUAAGUGCACCAAGUGAUGCUGUACCUUGAAUGUUUAGAGGAAGUAUAUCCAUCUUAUAGUAUUUUCAUAUUUCGUUGUUUAUUUGGACUGUCGCCAAAAGCAAUAAUUGGUGCCAAUGUGUCAUUAAGCUUGUGAGUUGCAUGAUGCUGCAAAGCUCUAGCUUAUGUAAGGUUUUUAAUGAAUGAAUCUAGCUUGAACUAAGUGAAGCUUGCUGAAGCACUUGCAUUAAUUGUGUAUGGGUCUGAGUCAGCCUGUAUGUGGGCACGUUUCAUAUCUAACAGUCUUUUACAAUAGACUAAAGAAGUAACACACACACACACACACACACACACACCCACCCACCCACCAUGUACUUCUAGUAAGGUCCCUAAAUGUUAAGCAUCUAGAAAUGACAUUAUAAUAAUUAGGAUGGUUAGCUAUGUUGCUGAAGCACAUGCAUUAAUUGUGUAUGGGUCUGAGUACUGUAUGUGGGCACGUUUCAGAUCUAACAGUCUUUUACAAUAGACUAAAGAAGUAAAACACACACACACACACACACACACACCAUGUACUUGUAGUAAGGUCCCUAAAUGUUAAGCAUCUAGAAAUGACAUUAUAAUAAUUACGAUGGUUAGCUAUGUUGCUGAAGCACUUGCAUUAAUUGUGUAUGGGUCUGAGUCAGCCUGUAUGUGGGCACUUUUCAGAUCUAACAGUCUUUUACAAUAGACUAAAGAAGUAACACACACACACACACACCAUGUACUUGUAGUAAGGUCCCUAAAUGUUAUGCAUCUAGAAAUGACAUUAUAAUAAUUAGGAUGGUUAGCUUUUGGUGAUCGAAUGAUUAAUAAUUGUUGUUAUAUGCCUGAUGAUCGAAAGUAGUAAACACCUGAUAUUGAGUUGUAAGCAGAAAACUUAUGUUAUAUUGCAGGUGCUUACUUAAAAAUGUGUCAUCUUGGUGUUUGGUGUAGUUUCAAAUCACCUUUUAUCAUAGUUUCAACAUCAUAUUAUUAUGAAUUGGAUUCAUGAACUUUCUUACUUGUAGUAUUAAGAAAGGUCGCAUGGAGUUUUGAUGGGUUCUUUGAACUUUUUUGGAUUAAUUGUAACAUUGUGUUUCUUGUCUGUCAAAGCUCAUUAACUGUAGAUUGUUUAAACUUUUAGAUGAAGUACUCAAUUUAUAUUGGAAUUUGGAACUCUUUCACAGCUGAUUGGGUUUAUUUAUUUAUUUUUAUUCUUCUAUCAACUAAAUUUGGAAGGGACGCUUUCCUUUAAUAUCCUUAACCAAGUGGAAUAGACAGAUCCAUUUAGCUGAUCCAUUAGAUUGAGAUUAAUGCUUGAUUUUACCAAGUAGAAACAUUAUGGAAAUAGAUCGAAACCAGAAUUUGAUGGUUGAACACUUAUUUAACCGUGGUGCGCUUUUUUGAAGUUGUGAUAUAUCAUAUACUGCAUAAUCAAAUAUUACAACUUGUCGAAUUGGAUUGUUUUUUUGUGCUUGAGUGAUUAUGCAAUAGCAGUAAGUUCUUGAGUGAUUAUGUAGCAGUAAGAACACUAAAAACUGUGAUUUCCUAACCGCUUUGCUAAUACAUUGCAGGUUUCAUCCUUCUUGUAUGGGUAUGACAAUUGAAGAAGCCAAAAAAUUGGAUCACUUUCUGUGUUUUGACUGUUCCUCUGAUGAUGAUGCCAAAAGGACUUUGAACGCUUUCCCAGUAUCACCAUCUGUUGAGGCCAAGGUGAACAUUGUGUCCCAUCUCCCUAGUACAACUACAGGUGUGGGUGAAUAAGUAGCGCCUAGGUGUCAAAUUAUCAUGAGAACUAGUGAUCAGCUUCGCUGCUUGUGUACUGAUAUUAUUUGUUCUUCCAGUUCUGGUGGUUUUAAUCUUUUACAACUUGGUACUUGGUUUCUCCAGCCAUCCUUUUUCCCUGUCAGUUUUGCAAUCAAGUUAUAUUCUCAUCUCAAAGAUUAUAGGAUGAUGCUCAGCUUGUUGUCUUAGAUGUCAUGCUUUGGUCUUGCACAAUCUUUGCCCACCUUAUCUGUCAUAUAACCUGUUUUCACUGUGCAACCAAAUUUCAGUUUUGUUACCUAUUGGCAUGUAACUAAUGAUAAAAAAUGCCAACUGAUUUUGACGGUAUGGAUGUAUAGGGGCUUCUUAAUAUGAAUGCAGGAAAUUUCUAUAAAGUUUGAUAUGGAAGAAAUAGCUGAGAGCCGCAUUAAUUUGGAGGCAUAUAUACUGUGAUUAUGACAUCGUUAAGUGAUUAAAGUAGUGCAAACAUUGUAGAAGAGUACAAUACUCACUAUGCUGAUACUGCAUAGAGCUCUACUGAUUUGUGUUAAAGUUUAUCCUGGGCUGAUUGUGCCCUUGCUAGUUGCAAAUUUUGGUUCCAUGUACUAAUAUUCUAAGGCCUCUUGGGCCUUUGGGAUUGUUGUUAUUGGUCGUGUUUCGUACAUUCAAAAACACAGAGGAAUAUUGGCCAAAUUAUGUUCAGUUCAUGGGGAACUAAGGAUUACUGACCUGAGCAUUACUAUUUCCAUUGGCGGGCAUGAAAAGGUGUAUCUUAACAUGAUGGUCCAUCAAAUGACAUUUUACUUGUUCAAUUGUAUUGCAACAUACACCUCAGAUGGUACGUAAAUAUUGGCCGAGUUAAUUUGUCUGUUAAUGAACAAAUGCACAUGGGACAGGGGGUUGGCGUUUGAUUUGGGAUUUCUUUUUUAGUUUCUUAACAAGCAUGCCAUCAGCUUCUUAUUGCAAUUAAAUUUAAACUGUGUAGUUAUAUUGUUUCAAGGUAGAGCAGAGGAUUAGCAAGUAGAAUACAUGCUUAAUUAAUUUAGAUCAUCGAAUGUUGGAUUAGAGAGAGAGAGAGAGAGAGGAAACAGCUUAAUGGGUGUGACCUUGUUCAUCCUAGUUGAUGGUUUCCAUUUAUAUUUAGGGAUAAAUUGGAAGGUUGGAAUGGAUGUGUUGGUGGCAGUGAAAAGUACCACCUACUACCUAGGAGGUUGGACUUCAAACAAGUUCUGUUUCUAUUGAGGGCAAUGUCUAUGCAGCAGUGAUUAUUUGAGGUCCUAUACUCUGUUGAGAAAUUGGUUUUUUAUUUGCUUAGCCAAUUUUUUCCCCUUUUUAAUUUUCUCCAUCAACGGUCAGUAUGCUCUUGCUUGAUCAUGGUAAACUAGUAUAGUAAUGCUUUAUACUAUGUAUUGGAGGAAGUUAGUUUUAAAAGAAGGUAAGGUUUUUGGACUUCACUAACUCACACGCAUAUACACACAUGAACGAGAAUGUCAUAUGCACAAUAAUCAGACUGGUACUUUUAUCAUUGCAGACUUUGUUUACAAUUUCAUCGUAUUAGAUUUUACACAUUACUUUUGCUGCUUAUCACAUGAUACUUCUAGAAUUUGGGAUGGGAUCUUGUAGUUUAGUUGUCUAAAAACUCUACAUGUCCAUUUCCUUUAGAUCUUCUCUGUUGUGUGGAAGCGAAAUAUUGUGAAAUAUUCUAUUUCUACUUUAUAGGUUUUGCUUCUUUACAGUUAUUGGUGAUUUGCUUAACAUGGAUUUUCUAUAUAAAGGAUUUUAGUUUUAACAGAAAACAUUUUUUGAUGGUUGCAGAAACUAGUAACUUUCUGGUGUCUGUCUAAGGUGUUCCCAUGUUAUUUUGUCUUUGCUAAGUUGCUUAUUUGCAUAAGUAUUAUCUGUACAAGUAUCUCACAUGGUAACCCUAGCAUACUUUAUUUAUCUAAUAUGAUACUCGUUUGGUAUUUUGACUUUAUAACUUGCUUUAGCUUUCUCUGUUGAAACUAAUCUGUACUUUGCAUCUCUAAGUAAAUCUUUGUGCUUGAGAGUUUCGGAUGGCAUUUGAUUGUUUAGAUAUCCAAAUGAUCAUCUCCUCAAGUUCUGCUUGGAGCUAAAUGUUGUAGUCCUCUUGGUGUUCAUAAUUAGUGAUUAUUUUAUCUGUAUGAUGCAUAUAUCUGACUGAGUCAUGAAAUUAUGUAACACUCAUGAGCAGGUGGCAAAAUUGGAUGCCAAUCUUUGUGGGGAGAUUAUAUUCCCUGUGCUUUGUCUAUUUUGGUCAGAGAGAAAAUAAUGUUAAUUCAUUAACCCUUCGUUUGGUAUGAAUGAUUUUGUAAGAAAAGAAUUCAAAUGAAUUCUUGCAAAAUCAUUCAUGAUUUCAUUUUUUAUACAUGAUAAAAAGUUUUCAAGUUAAAAAAUUUUUAAUUCUUUUAUUUCAAACAAAAAUUUUGCAAGAAAAGAAUUCAAUUGAAUUGAAUUCUUAUAAAAUUCUUAAUUCCAAACAGAGGGUAAAGGAUUUAAGUCAUAUUUAUGAAAGUUAAUUUAUCAGAAGCAUUAGAAGUUCUGAAUAAUUAGCGAAUUUUAUUGCAAAAGAUGGAGGUGUAGCCUGUGUAAGUUUAAAUGGCAUAUUUUGUUUACAAGGAAAAGCUAAUGGAUUUAUGUUAAAUGCUUUGGAAAAGGAUCCUUUUGUUUUUGUGUUGCCUGAAGAAGAAUAUAUGUGUUAAUUCCUACGAAAAGAAAAUUCAUUUCAAUUGAUAUUUUGAUUCUUGAUUGUUUCUAAUAUGGGAUUAUUAGUCUUUUCUGUUUUUUUGUCCCUUUACUCUUUAUGAUGUAUUUUUCUCGUCUUGGUUUUUUAUGCUAGCUGGAGACAAAGCGAAGGAAGAGAUGACAGAUAAUCAUGAUGGGUGAUUGGGAGGUACUUUUUCUUGCACAUUAGCUGCAGUGUGUUCUUGUUGCUUGAUGUUCAAUUAUACAGUGCUGAUAAGAUAUUAUGCUUGCACAAGCAAGAGGCUCUUCUUAUUUAUAAUUUUCUAGUGUUUGUUCGUGCGAAUGGUCUUAGGAGAUGAUCUGUAGUGCCUAAUGAUGUCCUCGUGAGUGCUGUGCCAAAAAUUGAAGUGUCUUUUUUCUUUUCUGCUCCUAAAAUGAUGAUGAAUCAAAUUAAAUGUCUCGUGAACCUUGGGUUUGUUAUGGUAUAUGCUAUAUAUGUGACAAACUCAUUCUGUUCUUCCUUUCUUCUUCCCUUAAUCACAAGGGACGUGGAAAGAGGAGUUGGGUUUUAGCAAGAGAUGUAACAGUCGACUUAAUCCAGGCACUGCUUUGGACUCAAAUCUUCAUGUGGGGUGAUUUGUUGAUGUAGAUGAAGGCAAAUACCACUUAGUCUCAACGUCCAAGGGUGGUUAUGGUUUUCUUGUUCCUUUUUUCAUUUUUUUCUUUUUGUAUAGAUGGCUCUGGACAAAUUUUUGAGCCAGUGUCCCAAUUCUCUAGUUGCCAAGUCUUCUGAAAUUUUGAAUCACCUGUUGAAAGCUAGCUGAUUGAAUGUGGGAUUUCCUCUAUUGAGCAGAGCUGCUGAUAGCCUUGCCGAGGGCAUCAACUGUUCCGUAUGAAUAUAUAUGAAUAAACCAUAUUUGUAGGAGCAGGGGAGCAAUGCCACCAUCUAUUGGUGAGCAUCUUUAUCUAAUUAUGCAUAUUUUUGUUAUCGACAGCCUCUAGUUGAGAAAGAGAGAGAGAGAAAAGUUCACAUUGGAGUUUUGUGUGCAUAAUGCAUGAAUGGGUUUCUUGAAGGAUUUGGAAUCCCACACAUAUGUUCUAAGAUGAUAUUUUAAUCACAUAUAUCAGAGUUGAGUGCUGGGAAAGAAAAUGCAAUUUAUGGUAUCAUACUGGAUCUUACUGGUUUCUGAGGGAAAAGGUAAUAACUCAAAAAUUGCAUGGUUAAGAAGAAAAAACAAAAAGAAAGCAAGGAGGAGCACUGUUUGAAUGCGGAUCGUUAAGCAAAUGUUGGUUGUUGAUCAACAUCCAUUUAUUAUGAAGGAUUUUAAUAAAAAAAAUUUACAUGUUUAAAAAAAGGUUUAACUAAUGAAAACUUAAAAAGAGAUUAUCUGUGUUUGCAAGGUCAUAAAGAGGUCAUAAAAUAUCUGGUCUCAAACAUGUGUAUCUAAUUAAUGGAGAAAUUUACUAUUUAGGAAAAUUUAUUAGUUGAUCUAUUGGGAUUGAAGAAUAUAUUGAGAUUUUAAAAAAUUUAUUAAAUUAGUUAUUUCUUUUAUUUUAGCCAAUAAGUAUAGUAUUAUAUAAUCUCAAUGGUAUGGAAAAAUUAGAGAGCUGAUGUAGCAAUGGAGGUUAAAUUUAGCAAAAGGAGUUAAUGGUGGGAUAAACUAAUCCUAUGGUAACAGUUCAAGCUAAAUCUAUCAAGAAAAAAAAUUUUUCUUUUUUUAUUUAAUAUAUAUUAAAAAACUAAAACCUAUUGGUUUCUUAAAUAAUUUCUUUUUAUUAAGAAAUUUCUAAAGUAUUUUAAAGCAUAAGGUAUUUAAUUUUUUUGAUGAGUAAGAAAAGUCAAUAAAAUUCAUUACUUAAUCUGUGUCAACUUUAUUUUCUUAAAUAAAGUUAUUUAUGGAUUUAUUAUUAUGUUAUUAUUUAAUAUGCCAAUAAAAAAAAUUUAUCCAUUGUAGAAGUAAUUUGAUGUAAUAUAAUAAUAUUAAGAAAAAGGUUAAACAGAAAUUAUUUUAACUAUAUUAAUCAUUGUCUCUUCUUAAAUUAUAUUGAAAAGAGUAAUAACUAUACUAGAACUUACAAGCGAUUGCUAUAGCCUUGAAUUCAACAUGUAACAUGGGGAGACCUUUCUGUUAUUCAAGGUGUAACUAUCAUCUUUAAAAAAAAAAUCGUUUACUUGUCCUCUGUUAUUCAUGAAAAGAAAUUUCUUGCACGUAUCUACAUGUUAAAGUUAUCAGUUUUAGAGGAGGGGCAAUAGUUCGAGUCAGUCAAAAGUAAGCUCAGAAAUAUUAGAGACACUCCAUCAAAGACUUAAAAAAAUGACAAUUUCAAUUGACUUAUUGAAAAAGUCCCUCACACACAGUUUGAGUCAACAGAUCAAAAGGUAUGUUUUGGUUCGAUUUUAAAUAACAUUAUAAAAAAGAGCUUGAUCUUAAACAAUAUUAUAAAAAAGAGCUUGUUAACCUUUUGAGAAGUACGAAGCUUCGACAUAAUCACACACAGCUUAAAUAUAGAUAUUUUAGUUAAGUCGAUUCAGCAAAAAAAAAAGAAGGAAAUUCACUUGUAAAAGAGAGUAGGUAAUAAAAGGUGAAAUUAAUAAACUGUCAAAUGCAUGAUUGAUUAAGAAAAUGCAAUAUUCUACAUGACUCAUUAAUGUGGUGCUAGUGAAAAAACCUUAUAGAAAGUGAAGGAUAUGUGUAGACUUUACGAAUUUAACCAAAGCAUGUCCCAAGAAUCAGUAUCGACUCUAUCUAUUGAAAGGUUAGUUGUGGUUUCUUUUUUUGAUAUUAUUUCAAGUGUGAAACUAUUUAGAAGUAAUAUAGUUUCUAAGAGGGGUAUGAAGAUUAACACAUAAAAAUUAAAGCAAUAUGGGACAUAAAAGUAUCAAAAUGCAUUAAUGAUAUCUAAAAAUUAAACGAGCGGAUGACAACCUUCGGUAGUCAUUUCAUAUUCCGCUAAACGGUGUCAUUUUUUAAGACUUUAAAGAGAAAUAAUAAAUUCAUUUGAGGAGAAACUUUUAAUGGCUUAAAAGGUUUUGUAUCUUCUUCAUUAUUAUUUUAUAAAAUUAACUCCUUAAUUAUUAAUCAUUAAUUAUUUAAAUAUUUAAACUAUUUAAUUUUUAUAAUUUAAAUUAAAUAUAUUAUUUAAUCAUAUAAUUUUAAAUAUGUAUAUUAUGUAUAAUCUCUUUGACAAAAUUUAAAACAAAUUAAUUAAUAUUUCUCAUGACUAAACAAUUUAAUUAUAUAAAAAAUAUAUAAAUAAUUUAAUUAAGUAAUUUUAAAAUAAAAACAAAAUACUCCAUUUCUUAAAAUUUCAGAGACCUAAUAAUAAUUCAUCUAUUUUUUUCUUUAAAAAUGGAAGAUACUCUUUAACAAAACACACUGUCCUUUUGAAAUAGUUUAUAUAUAUAUAUAUAAAUAUAAAGCAUCAUUCAAUUAUAGAAUAUAAUUAUUCUAUGAAAUAUGAAAAUGGUAUUUAUUGGUAAGAAAUACGGUUUAAAAAAUAGUGCCCUAGUUUUCUUUCUCUAGUUUUCUUUCCUUCUCUUUGAGGCAGUGGUCUUGACUUUGCUGGUGAUGCAGCUGCCUUUUUCCAAUUUUUGCCUGGGUCACGUUCCUUUCCUCCCCACAUGGGUGAAAUUUUUUUCCCUUUUUCCUUUUUUUUUUUUUCAGUAGGUAAUGUUUAUCGAUAGAACGGUUUGUUUAUUUUUUCAGUCUGUGAUGUCCCAAGAUAAGUGACUAAAAAGUAGGUAAAUAGUCACUUUACCAAUUUUUCAACUGUUGUUCUAAGAUUCAAUUAAAAAUUAAAACUGCUAUUUCUGAGUAUGAGUGAGUUCUAGUUUAAACAGAUAAUUAAAAUAUUUUCUUGAAAGAUUAAAAAAUAAAUUUAUUAAAUGCAAAUAUGUACUAUAAAGAUUAAAAAAUAAAUUUAUUAAAUGCAAAUAUGUACUAAAUAGAUGUAGAUAACAUAAAGUAAAAAUGAAAUUAACAAGCUAAUUUUUGUAUAUUCUUGUAACAUUAUUUUAAUAUUUAAACACAUAUCUCAAAUAAAUAUUAAAAAGCUGNNNNNNNNNNNNNNNNNNNNNNNNNNNNNNNNNNNNNNNNNNNNNNNNNNNNNNNNNNNNNNNNNNNNNNNNNNNNNNNNNNNNNNNNNNNNNNNNNNNNNNNNNNNNNNNNNNNNNNNNNNNNNNNNNNNNNNNNNNNNNNNNNNNNNNNNNNNNNNNNNNNNNNNNNNNNNNNNNNNNNNNNNNNNNNNNNNNNNNNNNNNNNNNNNNNNNNNNNNNNNNNNNNNNNNNNNNNNNNNNNNNNNNNNNNNNNNNNNNNNNNNNNNNNNNNNNNNNNNNNNNNNNNNNNNNNNNNNNNNNUGCAGAGAGUUCUGGAUAUGCGUCCAUGUACGUUCAACAAUCAUCUCCUGGUUCUUGAGAAGUUGGAAGGUUUCUCCCACCCGUCUAAGGUUCCUCUUACCCAUGUCCCCUUCUGGAUUCAGGUGCAUGGUUUGCCGUCGGGGUUCUUUUUUGAACGUGUAGUGACCCGCAUAGGGAAUGAAUUGGGUGUCUUCAUGGAAUCUGAUCCUUACAACUUCCUGGGUCCUCGGAGGGCUUAUGUUCGGCUUCGAUACAAGCAUGACCUUUCAGCUCCCAUUCACAAAUCCUUGAGAAUGCGCAAGAGUGAUGGAGCAUGGUUCACUGCAACUUUUGCUUAUAAGAGGGCGCCCAGUUUCUGUUUCAUUUGUGGACUGUUUGAUCAUACAGAGAAAUUUUGCAGGGAGCUUCUGAAGUUUGGGAAUGCGCCAGUGGUUCGAAAAUUUGGGCCGAAAUUACGUGUCAAUCAUCGACGCCCUCAGAGUCUUGGCAGCCGAUGGCUUAAGGGAGGAGGAGGGGAGCAAAGCAUCCAAGGUCAGUCGAGUUUUAAUUCUGGUAAUUCCACUGAUAGCGGACUGAAUUCGCCUCCAAAUGCGGGGGUCUAUAAUGAUCAUGAUAUGGAAAGGGGUCAAGAGGAUCUUGAUGUUGGGGAGGAUCAAGCUAUGGGUUUGGGAGUUGGUGUAACCAUUGUUGAUCCUAAACGGCGACGUAUAGGACCUGAUCACAAGAAGGUCAUUGGGGAGAGGUCCUCUGUGGUACACGGUUCAAGCAAUGCAGGUAGUAAUCAGUCAAAAAAUGGAGUAGCGGCGGGUCCUGGGGUUCAGGCCCGCCGAUCACAAUGAGUUGUAUUAGUUGGAACUGUCGUGGGCUUGGCAACCCACGAGCAGUUCAGGCCCUGAAAGAGAUGAUCAGGGUUAAGAGGCCGAACUUUCUUUUCUUGAUUGAAACUUUAUGUGGUUCUGCUAGGGUGAAUGAGAUAAAAGGUUUGUUGGGCUUUGAUGAUUUUUUCAGUGUGGAUAGUUUGGGUCAUAGCGGAGGGUUGACUUUAUUGUGGAGGUCAGUCUCUUCUAUCUCUCUCUUAAGUUCAUCGCAACAUCAUAUUGAUACAGAAAUCUGCAUGGAUGGUGUUGGUUCUUGGCGCUUGACAGGGUAUUAUGGUGAAGCUGAUCGUGGCUCUCGCCACUUGUCUUGGCAGAGACUGCGUAUACUGGCAUCUCAUCUUGAAGCGCCUUGGGUGUGUUUGGGUGACUUCAAUGAUAUUCUUUCUCCAUCUGAGAAGCGAGGUGGUCGACCCCAACCUCCACGCUUGAUCAAUGGGUUUCGAAAGGCUCUUUGUGAUUCUGGUCUUAUAGAAUUUCCUAUGACAGGAUACCCGUUCACGUGGGAGCAUAGCAGAAACAGUGGUAGUUGGGUGGAAUCUAAGUUGGAUCAUGUUCUUACUAAUGCUCAAUGGCGUGCCAGGUUCUCUAAUUCUUUAGCUGAAGUGAUGGGUUUCUCUACAUCUGACCAUCUGCCUAUCCUGCUUGUAGUUAAAUGCUUUGUGGAACAGCGUCAUGCUCACCGGUUUCGUUUUGAGAAUACGUGGCUAUGUGAGACUGGUUGCCGGAAUCUUAUUUUUGAUAUUUGGCAGUCUUCUUCUAACAUGGAUGCUGCGGGUAAGCUUGAGGCUUGUCGUUCUGCUCUCAAAUCUUGGGGUAUAAAUCUUCGUCUUAAGCACAAAGUGGAGAUGGAUGAGUGCCUUGCUAUCAUGUCCCAUUUACGUGGCUCUCGCCUACAGGAACAUAUAACUGAGUUUUUACGAGCUAAAGCCUGCUUCUUUCACCUCCUAAAUCUCCGUGAGAUCUUCUGGAAGCAGCGGGCCAAGCAAUUUUGGCUUAAGGAGGGUGAUGCUAAUACUCGUUUUUUCCACCAGUCUGCCAGUGCUCGAAAAAGGAAAAACACGAUUGUCAAACUGCUAGAUGAUUCAAAUGUAUGGCGGGACAGGAAUUCGGGGUUGGAGGGUGUGAUGACUGAUUACUUUAUGACUCUUUUUACUUCCCACAGUUGUAAUUCUGAACAUGUUUUGCAGUGUGUCCCGACGUUGGUAUCACAAGAUCAUAAUGCUUCUCUCUUAGCGCCAUACAGUUGUGAUGAGGUAAGGUCUGCAGCCUUUUCCAUGAAAAUUGAUAAAUCUCCUGGGCUAGAUGGUUUCAAUCCUGGUUUUUUCCAGCAGUAUUGGAAUAUUAUAGGAGAUGAUGUAUCUAGUUUUUCCAUUGAGUGUCUGCAUUCCUUGUCUAUUCCUCUGAAGUUGAAUGAGACGGCUUUAGUUUUGAUUCCAAAGAAGUUUGUGCCUGAGCAAAUGAGCGACUUGCGUCCUAUAGCCCUCUGCAAUGUGGUCUAUAAGAUCAUCACUAAGAUGAUAGUUAAUCGGCUUAAGUCCCUUCUGCCCACCAUCAUCUCGGAGAGUCAGAGUGCUUUUAUUGCUGGUCGAAGUAUUCAGGAUAAUAUAAUCUUAGCUUUUGAGGCCUUGCAUGGUUUUAAAGUGCAUCAAAGGAAAAAAGAGUUUUCUGGGGCCCUCAAAAUGGAUAUCAGCAAGGCCUAUGAUAGACUUGAGUGGGGUUUCAUUCGGGAUAUGCUUCUUCGGCUGGGUUUUGCGCAACAAUGUGUUGCUUUGCUGUUCUCUUGUAUCUCCACUGUUCGUUAUUGGAUCCUGCAUGAUAGCAAGGAGUUAGGCCCUAUUGUUCCUACAAGGAGAUUGAGGCAAGGAGACCCCUUAUCGCCGUACUUGUUUAUUCUUUGUGCUGAGGGGCUUUCCCGUCUCCUGCAAAAUUGUAUAAGCAGUGGAAGCCUUCAUGGGUAUAGGGUUUCUCGGGGUGGCCCGCAGCUUUCUCACCUUUUUUUCGCAGAUGAUAGCUUGAUCUUCUUCCGAGCAAGUGUUCAGGAGGCUUUGGAACUCAAGCGUAUCCUUCGCAUGUAUGAAAAUGCAUCUGGACAGGUGAGAAACCUUCAGAAAUCAUCUAUCUCCUUUAGUAGGUACACUCCUGUGGCUCUUCGGGACUCUGUAUGCUCAGUACUUCAGGUUGAGGAGAAACCAGAUUUUGGAAAUUAUUUAGGACUUCCUUCUCAUGUUAGGAAUAAUAAGAGGGAAGUGUUCAGUUUUGUUAAGGAUAGAUUGUGGAAAAGGCUGAAUUCUUGGAAGCAUCGGGCACUGUCUCAAGCAGGUAAGGAGGUUCUCUUGAAAACAGUCCUCCAAGCUUUGCCAAACUAUGUGAUGAGCUUAUUUUUACUUCCUCGGACUCUUUGUGAUGAACUGCAACGCAUGAUGACUAGAUAUUGGUGGAGUAAGGGGGCGGAUCAAAAUCGGGGUAUUCAUUGGCUGGGUUGGCACAGAAUGGCAAAGCACAAAUCUGAUGGCGGGCUACGUUUCAAAAUUCUUUAUAAGUUUAACUUGGCCAUGCUUGGGAAGCAGGGCUGGCACAUUAUCAACAGGCCUCAGUCCUUAGUGGCUCGUGUCCUUAAGGCCCGCUAUUUUUCGACACAAUCUUUCUUUGAAGCUCCUUUGGGAAGUAACCCUAGUUUUUUGUGGCGCAGCAUAUGGGAAACUCGGGGUCUGAUUCGAGCUGGGGCUUACUGGAGGAUUGGGAAUGGUCAGUCAGUUUCAAUCUGGGGGCAACCCUGGUUGAGAGAGCUGCCUGAGUCCCUGGUUUCCACAACCCCUCCUUUGAACUGUGCUAGAGUUGUUGUUUCAGAUCUCAUAAUUAACCACAGAUGGAACGAGAGUUUAAUUGCACAGAUGUUCAAUGAAAGAGAUAGAAGUUGUAUUUUGAACAUCCCUCUUAGUCUUUCAUCGUGUUCUGAUACAUGGUACUGGAAAUUCGAGUCCAAAGAUCACUAUUCGGUUAAGAGUGCAUAUAGGUUCCUGGUUGAUGGCUUUCAACAUAGGGAAGGGAGCGAGAUAUGGAAAAGGUUCUAGAAAGCUAAAGUUCCCCCAAAAGUGCUCAAUUUCUGCUGGCGGGCUCUAGUUAAUGUUGUCCCUUGCCUCUCGUUACUUCAGUCCAAGAGAGUCCCAGUUGAUCCUUCAUGCCCGUUGUGUCAUGUAGCCCCUGAGAAUGUCUUGCAUAUUCUGAUUCAGUGCCCUUUUGCCCGCAGCUGCUGGUUAAGCUCGUCGUUGGGUUGGCCUGCGCCUUCUGCAUCUUCUUUAAAUGAGUGGUUUUCUUUAGCCUUCUCUUCUGCUUCUGUGGAAAAUGCCUCCCUUAUGCUAAUGAUCUUAUGGGCUUUGUGGCAAAAUAGGAACAAUGUUGUAUGGAAGGGCCAGGGUCAGACUGCGAGUGGUGUGUUCUUCAUGGCUCUGAAUUUUUUGCAGCAAUGGAAAGCAGCCCGGGUCGUGUCCUCAGUAAGCACCAUUGUCGACCCGGCUCGCCUGAUCUGGUCUCCUCUGCCGCAUGGUUGGAUCAAGGCGAACAUUGACGCCUCUUUAAGAUUGCAACGAGGUUCGGUAGGUUUCGGUUGUGUAAUCCGGAAGGAUGAUGGGAGUUUUGUGGCUGCUAGAGCAGGCUCUUUUUAUAGCCAGAUGGAUGCAAAGUGUGCUGAAGAUAUAGCAUUCCGGGAAGCAUUGAGCUGGAUUAAAGAGUGUGGAUGGGAUCGAGUUCUUUUCGAAUUGGAUGCUCAGGUACUUGUGAUGUCAGUUAAUUGUGUUUUAUUAGAUGAUUUAUCGUCUUUUGACCUUUUAGUUCAAGAUUGUAAACUGCUUCUAUCUAGUUAUGAGGAAACAAAGUGUGUUUUUGUUUAUAGAUCUGCAAAUGAUGUCGCUUAUGUUCUAGCAACAUCGGCUCAUUCUAAGUCAGGUCAAGGAGUUUGGAUUGAUAUCCCUCCUCCUCAUAUUGUUUCUUUGUUCUCUUUGAAUUAAUAAAGUUUUCUUGUUAUUUCAAAAAAAAAAAAAAACAAUUAUAAUAAAAAAAUUGAUUUAAUUUCAGCAAUGAUUUCUAGUGUGAAAAUUAUCUCAUUAUUGUUUAUCUUUAAUAAUACUUACAAAUAUAAAAACUAAAUUUAAAAUAUUAAUAAUAUUACCUUAUUUUACAAUUUAUUUAUUUAUCUAUCAAUAUGCAUUAACCAAUAUAUAAAACGAUCAGGAUGUUAGAAUAAUCCUUUAAAAAAAAUAUUCUGCAAAACGUAAAAUAAAAACUAUAAAUAGUUUUUAAUUUUUUAAAAAUAAACAAAUAAAAAACCAAUAAUAUUAUUAAACACAAUGAUAUUACAUAAGACUCGCUCAAAAUAGACAGUGAGCUGCUACCAUUAGACAGAGCCACAUAGCAAGGAUUUAAUAAACAUAUAUGCAGUUCCACCACCAUAGAAAAGAAGACCCGGGUGCUUCAGGACAAGUCGGACAGACUCGCCCUCUCAACUUUAGGGCAAUGCUCCAUAAGAAAAUUACCGUUAACGGCUAUAAUCUAGGAGAUCCCCUUUACGUCUACGAUCACGGAAUUCCCGACCAAUUAGCUGGAGAAGGUAUCUUACUAAUGAGUUGGUCAAAUCAUCGCCGGAUCAUCAGAGAAUGCCAUAUUUAUCUCCAUUUUCUUAAAAUAUAAAAGGAGAAAGAUUACAAAGGUAAAAGUACGUUGUUCUCUCACACAACUACUCUUGAGUUAUAAACAUUAUACUCGCUUUUCUUCACCCUACUGACUUGAGCAUCAGAGUGGCUACCGUAAACACUCACCACCUCACAUUUUCUUUCUCACAGGUUUAGCCAAUCACAGCACAGUUCCAUUUCGGCUACGUCAUCAAUUUGAUUUUAACAACAUCAUUUGGUUCUGUUGUUAAGAAUUCCAUUGAAUUCUUUCUGUUCAUUUAGAUUAAAACCGAUCUCUUAUCCCUUUUUUCCUAAAAAGAAAUCUUUCUUUUAUCUUUAGAAAUGAUCGACAAUUCACGAGCCGCUGCUAAGGUUGCUAUCGAUGAAAAGGCUAUAAUUUCUUCCACUACCAGCAGUAGACAAAACACAUCUCCUAUAGUCAAUGAAGUAGAUUCCAAUAAUAUGAGCAUUGAGAAAAUACUCCAGUACGUUCGAAGGUUGUAGGUUAUUUUUGAGCAAUGUAAAGCUCAGGAAAAGGCAUCACUCAUGGCUCCUAGGGGAAGGGAGAAAGCUCAAGGAUUCGGACAGGGGCAAUCCAGACGCAUUCCAAAGAGAAGGACAAGUUCGAGGAAGAGGGGCCGUUAGAUGAUGUUCCCAAGGAUGUUGGCUAGAAGUUGGUACGGGUUGCCUAAAGGGGCCAGGAGGGAUGGGAAAAAGACAAAAGGAUGGAUCAGAAGCAAAGUCAAAAACCGAAGAAUCAAGGAUAUGAGGGAGACAAUAAAAGUUACUCAGUCCCCCGAGGAAAGAAUGGCCAAGGUAAGUAUAAAAAAUAUACCUCAUUGAAUGACUCAUGAACACAUAUUCUAAUGUGGAUUAGGAAAAAUGACAAAAAGAUCAGGUGACCUCUCAAACUCAAUCCUAAGAAAGCCAAAAAACGAGACAGGACUAGAUAUUGUCAUUUUCAUAAAGACCACGGACAUGUAACAAAGGAGCGCUGACAAUUGAAAGAUGAGAUCGAAAGGUUAGUAGGGAACGACACACACUUUGAAAGUUCAUCAAAAAUAGUAGAAAAGAUAAGAGGCCCAAACUCGAGGUAACAAUUCCCGAAAUCAUCAUUGACAGUAAACUUGUGAGGUUAUUCAUGUGAUUGCAGGACGACUGAGUGUUAAUGAGGGUGACAAUAAUGGGAAUAUCACAAAUGUCCAGCUCUUGAGUCAAACUCCAAGUUUUGAAAUCGGUCAAGUCAGACGACCGAAUCUUUUAUUAGAAAAAUAUUUAUAAUUUAUGAAAAUGUUAUAAAAAUAGGAUGCAUUCUUCAAAUUUCUUUUUUGAAUCGUUGGAUGGAUGAAAGCGUGGAGACAAGAACAAAGGUCACAAGGCCAUCUGGGCAUGGGUCCUACAUAUAAUUCGGGCAUUGGUCUACGGAAACAAACAUUUAUAAAAGGCCACAAGGCCAUCCGGGUAUGGGUCUCACAUAUAAUCCAGGUAUUGGUCCACAAAAACUAAUAUUCAUAAAAGGCCACAAGGCCAUUCGGACAUGGGUUCCGCAUAACCAGACAUUUCAUAUUAGGCCACAAGGCGGAUAUACACCAGGCCAACCAAGUGUUAGUCCCGUUUCACAAAAAAAUUUUAAGGCAUUUUAUAUCAGGCCACAAGGCGAAUAUAUGCUAGGUCAACCGGGUGUUAGUCCCAUUUUACAAAAAGAUUCUUAAGGCAUUUCAUCCAAGCCACAACACGGAUAUACGCCAGACCAACUAGGAGUUAGUCCUGUUUCAUAAAAAAUUUCUUAAGGCAUUUUAUGUCAUACCACAAAGGUGGAUAUACGCCAGGCUAACCGGGCAUGGGUCCCGCAGUGGACAAACAACGUGAAACACGGCAACUAUUUUCGGCAAUAAGAUCUGGAACCUAUCGAAAGGGUAAGUAAGAAGAAAGCAAGAAUAUCGUGCAUUCAGUCUAGACAAACAAGUCACAUGGCCCAGAUCAUGAAAACAUCUGUCACCUUCGAAUCUCAAGAAUCGAAGACCAGCGGAGAACCUCUGAUGCUACAUAAGACUCGCGCAAAAUAGACAGUAAGCUGUCACCAUAAGACAGAACUACGUGAGAAGGAUCUGAUAAACAUAUACGUAAUCCCACUUGUAGAAAGAAAACCUGAGCGCUUCAAGACAGAUUGACCUCAAGUCGAACAGACUUGGCCUCUCAAUUUCAGUGCAAGACUCCAUAAAAAAGUUACCAUUAACCGCUACAAUAUAAUUUCAGCAACAUUAAACACAAUUAUCAUGCAAAUUAAAUAAGAAUUAAUUAUAAAAAUUCAAAAAAUUAGUUAUAUUGAAAAAAAAGAGAUUAAAGUGUGUAGUAUGUAUAUAAAUAAUAUCAUUAGCUGAAAAAAAAAUUCUCAUUCUUAUAAUUUUAGUCCUUUUUUUAGUUUUCAAAAUUAUCAUCGAUUUUAUUUUUUACACUAUGUCCAUAUUUUUUUUCUAUUUUAUUUUAUUUAUAUUAUAAUAAUAUAUAAAUUAAUUAUUAUAAUUUUAUUUAAUUUAAUACUAUUUUUAAAAAGUCUUUUCAUAAUAUCCGGUAAUAGUUAAUAAAAUUUAAUAUUUUUAAAAUCCAUAUAAUUAUAAAAUUAAUAAAAAAAUGUUCAUCCAUUACGGACAUAGGAGGACAUCCUAAUCGUAAUGGAGAUGCACAAAAUGGACAGUGACGUGUCCUCUAUCAUUGCUUUCCUCACAUCGCAGCAAAACCGACGUCACGCUCUUCCUCCAUUCCUCUCUCGCGAAGAGCUAAGUUAAGCUCUUCUUCUCAGAAUUCAGAUUCUAGGGUUUCGUUUCCUUUCCCUCUUCUUUCUCAGAAGUUAAACCCCGCCAAAACCUUCUCAGUCCUCUACAUUUUGCCUCUUCGCUUUCCACAUUUCACCUCCAUUAUCAAUUUCUAUCUUCCAGGAAAAUCCAACUCCUCUGGACCUGCCACAUCAAUCUAUUCAUGGCCAAAACCAAACCAGGCAAAAAAGACCUCGAUUCCUACACUAUCAAAGGCACCAACAAAGUUGUUCGACGUAUGUAC